CGGGCCAACGAGUUACGUUAAGUAGCAAGGUUAAGCACUUAAGGUGCGGAGCCGUAGCGAAAGCGAGUUUUAACUGAGCGUUCAGUUCCUUGACGUAGACCCGAAACCGGGCGACCUCCCCAUGAGCAGGAUGAAGCGAAAGUAAAAUUUCGUGGAGGUCCGAACCCACGAGCGUUGAAAAGCUCGGGGAUGACUUGUGGG
rnacentral:rRNA from 1 species